AACGCGAAAGUCCCUUCGGGGAGCAAGUAGAGUGGCGCACGGGUGAGUAACACGUAGGUAAUCUACCUUUGGAUUGGGAAUAACACCGAGAAAUCGGUGCUAAUACCGAAUAAUGCAGCGGCACCUAAUGGUGACAGUUGUUAAAGCGGGGGAUCGCAAGACCUCGCGUCUAAAGAGGAGCCUGCGGCGGAUUAGCUAGUUGGUAAGGUAACGGCUUACCAAGGCGAUGAUCCGUAGCCGGCCUGAGAGGGCGGUCGGCCACACUGACACUGACAUACGGGUCAGACUCCUACGGGAGGCAGCAGUCGGGAAUUUUGGGCAAUGGGCGAAAGCCUGACCCAGCAACGCCGCGUGAAGGAUGAAAUCCCUCGGGAUGUAAACUUCGCAAGAACGGGAAGAAUAAGUCGGUGCUAACACCAUCGGCGAUGACGGUACUGUUUGUAAGCUCCGGCUAACU
rnacentral:rRNA from 1 species